AGUUACUAUGCACAUCGACCCUGCUUACCUGAGCAGAAACCUGAAGAAAGGGCUGCACUACGCUGAUUCCCCCCCCCCCCCUCCAAAAGGAACCAACAGAACUUGUUAAGCAUAUACCGCAAUUAGCGCCUUCGCAGCGGGGUCUGACGGGGCAGCUUUAAUCAGACCGCCUGCAGCCAGGGCUGCUGGGUGACACUUGAGAGCUGAAGAGCGCGGUAAAAAUAACCUCCCUGCAACAAGGGCUGAUGAGCACCAGACAGCUGAGUCACCUUUAAAGCCAAUUUCUGAUUUUCUGCGUUAGAAGGAAUUACCGAAAAGAGCAGGGGAAAAGAUACAGAAAUCUCUGAGGCGCCUUUCGUUGCGCUCAGGCUGACGCCAUUUGGACAUCAACACGGAGCGCUCAAUCACCGCCGGGAAACCUCAGCUUCACGUGGAGCACCGAUUUUGAACGCAACCCCAGCUCCGUUUAAAAAGAGUAAUUUCCGAACACCUGCUCCUCAAACACAUCCCGGCCGCCACGAGGAGGUCAGGGGGAGCGGGGCCCGGCGCGACCCCCGCGAGGGGCGGCUGAGGGGAGGGGGCCGCAGCAGGUGGAGGAGCAGAGGGGCAGGCCGGGCGGGAAGGGGCGGCCCCGCAGCCCGCGGACGAGUCGGGGAGCGACGGUGCCGCUGCACUCACGGGAGAGUCGUAGGAGAAGGCACACUCCGUCUUGUAGACCCGGUCCCCGGACUUGGGCACGCGGAUGGUGGGCAUGUAGGGGACGAGCAGCUCGCCCAGGUCCCCGGCCGCCAUCUGCGCGUCGCCGCCGCCGAACAGCGCGGCCCGCUGCAUGCCGCCUGCCUGCCUCCGGACGGCGGGCGGGCGAGGGCAAUGCGGGUGGAAGGCGGCGGGGCCGGGGCAGGGCGCGGCGGCGGCGGGAGCCGGGCCCGGGGGAGGGGAGGGGAAGGGAAGAGGCUAUUUUUAAUCCAAUGGCAGCGGCACCAGCUGCGGCGGCACCGGGGGGUCCCGGCGGGGGCGGAAGGAGGGGCAGAGCGGCGUCCGCCCGCCCUCAGCCGCCGGGAGGUGCCCGCAGGGGCCGGGCUCGCGCCGCUCCACAGGGCGUUCCCGCCGGGCUCCGCUCCGCCGCCGGCUGUCAGAAGGCGGAGGGACGAAUAAAUACGGGGGCUCCGCUCUUUUACCCGGAAAGCCUUGUGCUCUUUAUCGGCCUCUGUCGUGAUUGACAAAGCGUUUACAAACAAGGAGCGCUGCGCUGAGGAAGAGAAGCUAACGUGGAAGAUCGAUGCAGGCGAAAAGGACGAGUCGAAGCUCUGGCACAAAGUCAAUCCCAGUCUUUCUGUUAGGCAGCGCUCCGAAGCAGCUAACGAGGCGGGCUUUGCUGAAGACACUCCGUGUAACGCUGCUUCAUGUUACUUGGUAGUAGUUUUAGCAGUUGGAAACCACGAGAUUCAGGGAUUACUACAGAAUUUGGGCUUCUGUCCUUUAAAAAGUGGAAACAGACAAUUGUGGGUCGUGCGCUGCAAGAGAAGCUACCCCUCACCCUCCUGAGGGAUUUAGAACCUAAGGGAGCACAUCCCUCUAGCGGCAGAAGGCUGUGAGGUGAACAGUAACGUCCUCCCUACCUCAGUACUUCUCAAAAGUGGUAUGGAGAAAGAGGGAACAAACCAAAAAAACACAAGCAGAGCGGUGCAAUGUGUUCCAGAAGGCCCUCCUUUUGCGUGAUCUACACUGAGAAUGGUCUGGUUUGAAACAAUGCACAGAAGUCAUUCAUCUCUGCAUUUCUAUCCUUAAGAAGUCUUUGAGACUGACUAUACAGAAGGAGGUGAGAUGGGAGAAAGCAAGGAGCAGACAAGCAAGAGAAAGAGAAAACAAUAGCAGAUGUUGAACAACCUGCAAAGUGAAAGAUCAGUUUGACUACAGACAGUGAGAAAGAAAAUACUUGUCUAAAACAAUAGAUACAAUCUUGAUACUCCAAAGAUCUGAAAUAAUUUUCCUUUCUUACUUCAUUUUCCAUAAACUAUUUGACACAAGGCAGUGUGAAAGAAAAAAGCUCCUUACGAUGUGUUACACCUUUCACUUUAAAACUUCAAAACUAGCAGACAUCACAUGAUAAUGAGUAAAAUUACCACCUUGUUUCACAUUAGGGCAAAAGGGCCAUUCUAUAUUGAAGCCCUGGAGAAAAUGACUAAUAGUUAGCAACUGACAUAAGGCAUUUUAUCUGCUUAAUACCUUUAGCAGCUAUACAAGAUGAACUUUCACACAGCUUCUUUCAAGAUAUCAGAAUCAACAAACACUUAUUUGUGUUUUUUUUAACUUUUUAUUUCCAACAUUAAACAGCAGGAUGUGUGCUCCACAGAUAAGCCACAAUUUGUUGGUAUGCAUUUGAAACUGCAUACUACCUUAAACCUGUUCAAUUGUCAGGUGUUGCUUUCAUAGAAUUGUCAACAAGAUUUUUAUCAGGUGUUUCGUACUGAUACCAAGGUCCAUCUCCCCUCUGUCUCAUCAGUCUGCGUGCCUCCAGCUCCAUCAGCCUCAUUUCAGCCUUCUGUGCUUCAACAUUGAUGAAAGCCAUCUCUUUCUCAUAGUUCUUUUCAGGUGGGUCAAGGAGGUAACGAGCUAUCCAGCGACUUAUAGGGUGUUUGUAGUAUUCCCAGUGCUCUGGAAUAUAACCUUCAGGAAUCUCUGCAAGUUCAGCUUCACCGAUGAAGAUGUUGACGUAUGUUAUGAAAAGUACCACUGGUAUUCCUGUCAGAAAUAUAUAGAAUCUCAACAUGUUCAGAAACCGAGUAUCGUAAAAACUCGUUGCCUUGAUGAUGAACAUUCUCUUCCCAUGGCCGCUGCUGUAUCGCACCGGAGCGACGGUGCCUGGAAGACGGGCGGCCCCGGCGAGGCAGGGGAGGCGAGCGCUGCCCGCCGCCCGCCGCGCCCCCCAAGCAGCGGCCGCCCGCAGCAGCAGGCUCAUGGCCGCCAUGGCCGGGAC
rnacentral:lncRNA from 1 species